GACGAACGCUGGCGGCGUGCUUAACACAUGCAAGUCGAGCGGUAAGGCCCUUCGGGGUACACGAGCGGCGAACGGGUGAGUAACACGUGAGCAAUCUGCCCAUCACUUCGGGAUAACUCCGGGAAACCGGUGCUAAUACCGAAUACGACCACUUCAGGCAUCUGAUGGUGGUGGAAAGUUCCGGCGGUGAUGGAUGAGCUCGCGGCCUAUCAGCUUGUUGGUGGGGUAAUGGCCCACCAAGGCUUCGACGGGUAGCCGGCCUGAGAGGGUGACCGGCCACACUGGGACUGAGACACGGCCCAGACUCCUACGGGAGGCAGCAGUGGGGAAUAUUGGACAAUGGGCGAAAGCCUGAUCCAGCAACGCCGCGUGAGGGAUGACGGCCUUCGGGUUGUAAACCUCUUUCAGCAGGGACGAAGCGCAAGUGACGGUACCUGCAGAAGAAGCACCGGCCAACUACGUGC
rnacentral:rRNA from 1 species